GACGAACGCUGGCGGCGUGCUUAACACAUGCAAGUCGAACGAUGAAGCUAGAGCUUGCUCUGGUGGAUUAGUGGCGAACGGGUGAGUAACACGUGAGUAACCUGCCCCGAACUCUGGGAUAACUGCUGGAAACGGUAGCUAAUACCGGAUAUGACCAAUGAAGGCAUCUUCUGUUGGUGGAAAGAAUUUCGGUUCGGGAGGGACUCGCGGCCUAUCAGCUUGUUGGUGAGGUAACGGCUCACCAAGGCGACGACGGGUAGCCGGCCUGAGAGGGUGAUCGGCCACACUGGGACUGAGACACGGCCCAGACUCCUACGGGAGGCAGCAGUGGGGAAUAUUGCACAAUGGGCGCAAGCCUGAUGCAGCAACGCCGCGUGAGGGACGACGGCCUUCGGGUUGUAACCUCUUUUAGUAGGGAAGAAGCGAAAGUGACGGCACCUGCAGAAAAAGCACCGGCUAACUACGUGCCAGCCGCCGCCGUAA
rnacentral:rRNA from 1 species